rnacentral:snRNA from 1 species
AUACUUAGCUGGUAGGGGAGGUUCCAUGAUCUGGAAGUGGUUUUCCCAGUGCUCAUCCAUUGCACUCCAGAUUCACUAACCUCUGAAAUUUCCUCAAAUGUGAGAAACUCUACUGCAUAAUUUGUGGGAUAC